AAUUAGACAGAUUUAAUCUGAUCUAUAACAGACAGAUUUAAUCUGAUCCAUAACAGACAGAUUUUGUCUAAUAUAUAGCAGACAGAUUUCAUCUGAUCUUUAACAGACAGAUUUCAUCUGAUCUAUAAUAGACAGAUUUCAUCUGAUCUAUUACAGACAGAUUUCAUCUGAUCUAUAACAGACAGAUUUCAUCUGAUAUAUAACAAUCCGAUUUAAUCUGAUCUAUAACAGACAGAAUUAAUCUGAUCUAUAACAGACAGAUUUCAUCUGAUCUAUAACAGACAGAUUUCAUCUGAUCUGUAACAGACAGAUUUUGUCUAAUAUAUAGCAGACAGAUUUUGUCUUAUAUGUAGCUGACUGAUUUUGUCUUAUCUGUAGCUGACUGAUUUUGUCUUAUCUGUAGCAGACAGAUUAAUUUCUAUUUGUAGCAGACAGAUGUUGUCUUAUCUGUAGCAGACAGAUUAAAUUCUAUCUGUAGCAGACGGAUUACAUUCUAUCUGUAACAGACAGAUUUUGUCCUAUCAGUAGCAGACAGAUUAAAUUCUAUCUGUACCAGACAGAUAAAAUUUUAUCUGUAGCAGACGGAUUAAAUUCUAUCUGUAGUAGACAGAUUUUGUCUUAUCAGUAGCGGACAGAUUAAAUUCUCUCUGUAGCAGACAGAUUUUGUCUUAUCUGUAGAAGACAUUAAAUUCUACCUGUGGCAGACGGAUUAAAUUAUAUCUGUAGCAGACAGAUUAAAUUCUAUCUGUAGCAGACAGAUUAAAUUCUAUCUGUAGCAGACAGAUUAAAUUCUAUCUGUAGCAGACGGAUUAAAUUCUAUCUGUAGCAGACGGAUUAAAUUCUAUCUGUAGCAGACAGAUUAAAUUCUAUCUGUAGCAGACAGAUUUUGUCUAAUCUGUAGCAGACAGAUUAAAUUCUAUCUGUAGCAGACAGAUUUAAUUCUAUCCGUAGCAGACAGAUUAAAUUCUAUCUGUAGCAGACAGAUUAAAUUCUAUCUGUAGCAGACAGAUUAAAUUCUAUCUGUAACAGAAAUAUUUAAUCUAUGCUUUUUCUUAACGUUAGUCGACAGAUUAUUUUUGAACGUUUGACAAUUGAUUGGACUGUAAAAGCAUUUCUGCAGGGUUGUUAAACCUCUACUUUUAACAAAAUAAAUUAUAAAUUGAAAAAGAUUUUUAAAAUUCAAGGUCCUAAUCAUUUUGAAUCAUUUGAACAACGCCUAAAAUUGCUUAUUAUCGAUCUCAAACAAAAUGAAUUAAAAAAAAAAUAAAAAUAGUUUAACUUGAUUUCAACUUUUAUACUCACUCAUUCCAUAGUUUGCGUUUUAUGCAAUAAAAGCUUACAUUUUUUAAUAUUAUACAGAUAUUAUUAUUUUAGUAGUAUUUUUAGUUUAACACAUAGUAUUUUGUUUUAAUCUCAUUUUUACACUUUAAAAAUCUCAUGCAAUCUCUAAGUUUGGAUAUUUGUUAUAUUUCGUUUGUUUUCUUUAAAUUUUACACUUUUUGUAAAUAUGUUAUCAAUUCACUGACUUAUGUCUUAUACAUUUAGUUUUAAAGUGCGAUUUUAAUGGGACUGUCAGAGCAACUUCAAUUAACCUUCCAUCCCUUUAAAUCUUGAAGCAUCGUCAUGUAAUUGCCUUAAUUAUGAUUAAUUAUACGUUAUAUAUGUACGUUGAACAAUGUGCAAUUCAAGGUACACUACACAAUCCAGUUUUGUCCAGUGCAGUACAGUACAGCUACGUAAUGCAGUAUAUUUAGCUAUUGUAAUGCUUAUUUAUUAACAGAAAUAUAUCUCAGAAAAUGUUAA
rnacentral:lncRNA from 1 species